GGUCAAGCGGAGCCUAUGGUCGAUGUAGCAAUAGGGGGAAAGAGAAGUUCUUUCAUGAUUGACACAGGUGCUGAACAUUCUGUGGUGACUAAGAUGGUGGCUCCGCCUUCGGGGAAGACUAUAACUGUGAUAGGAGCUACUGGGAGAAGUGCAGCUAGACCGGUUCUUAAGAGUCGCACUUGUAUUCUGGGAGGCCAUGUGGUGAAGCAUUAGUUCCUAU